rnacentral:lncRNA from 1 species
GUGUCACUCAAAUGUCAGAUUUAGAAAAGAAAAGAUGUUUGGCUCAAACAAGACAACGCUUUUAUAGAAACCUGUUGUCAUGACUGUACGUGUGUGUUCAUGAUUGGUUUCUGAAAGAGCCUGACUAUGUGUAUGUUCAUGAUUGGUCCUUGACUGGGUAAAAAAAAAAAACUGAUUCCGUGUGAAGAGAAAAAGCUGUAAAAAAAUGAUCUACCAGCCGUCGGACGUAGAGCUGUGGCGGUUAUGAAAUGUUGUCAGCGGGCUAUUGUCAUGAAAAAGCCUGCAGGUCUCAUGGUAAUUGACCGUUAAUUUAGAGGCUAAAGAAACGCACACCUAUUUAGGUAAGGCGCUGGGUCGGCUGGGCUGGGCUGGCUGGGUAGCGGAGUAGAACACUUGACAAAUGAAUUAAAGUAGAGCCUCAUGGUAAUUGGCCGUUAAUUAACAUAAACAUGUUUAGCAUCUCCAGGCCUCCACGCUCACAAUUCACUGAUGCCUUUGGAAUAUCUACUUUUUAAAAAGUCUAAUAAAUCAAUUAAAUAAACACCAUCACAAUACAUCCCUUAUUUAUUUUAGUCAGGUCUAGAGAAACAUUAUGAUAUCAUGAAAAUAUACCUGUAUUUUAGAAGAACAGAAAUUAGGCGUGAUGCAGAAAAAAAAAUUGCCCGCGCUGAAGACGUCUAUAUUGGUCCGCUAAUAAAGGAUUAGUAAAGGCCCAGUGCACUACUUUUGUGAAAACAUUUAAACUAAAUGUAUUUGAGUGUUUAUCAGCAUUUGUAACUUGAGUCUGAUAAUCAUCUGUACAAAAAAGUUAAUCUGAUAAUACUAGUGGAAUAUAAGACUUUGAUAUGCUUGAUAUGUUUUCCAGUGUCUUGA